AGUGAACGCUGGCGGUAGGCCUAACACAUGCAAGUCGAACGGCAGCACAGUAAGAGCUUGCUCUUACGGGUGGCGAGUGGCGGACGGGUGAGGAAUACAUCGGAAUCUACUUUUUCGUGGGGGAUAACGUAGGGAAACUUACGCUAAUACCGCAUACGACCUACGGGUGAAAGCAGGGGAUCUUCGGACCUUGCGCGAUUGAAUGAGCCGAUGUCGGAUUAGCUAGUUGGCGGGGUAAAGGCCCACCAAGGCGACGAUCCGUAGCUGGUCUGAGAGGAUGAUCAGCCACACUGGAACUGAGACACGGUCCAGACUCCUACGGGAGGCAGCAGUGGGGAAUAUUGGACAAUGGGCGCAAGCCUGAUCCAGCCAUACCGCGUGGGUGAAGAAGGACUUCGGGUUGUAAAGCCCUUUUGUUGGGAAAGAAAAGCAGCAGGUUAAUACCCCGCUGUUCUGACGGUACCCAAAGAAUAAGUACCGGCUAACUUCGUG
rnacentral:rRNA from 1 species